rnacentral:rRNA from 1 species
AUGGGGCUGUUGUGCAGCCAUAUCCUGAAGUUUCUCGACUUCAUUCGUGUUACGGAGAUCCCAAAGAAGCACAUUGUGAAAAGGUGGACAAGAGAUGCAAGAGAUAUACUUCCAGCUCACCUGAUGCAGUACCAGAGAGACAAUGCUCAGGAAAACCCGUUUUGUUUCCGGCAUUUCAACAUGUAUAUGCAAGCCAUGGAGCUUGUUCGGAUGGGAGACUCAAGUGUGGCAGCUUAUGAGCACUUGAUCUCGCUAUUCAAACACUGUGCAGAAGAGAUGAAACCAUUUACAGACGUCCGAGAUGGCCUUGGUUUGGAAGACAGGUUAGCAUGUAGUACUAGGAUUGAUAACAGGAUGCAAUCAGGAGGCGAUGUAUGCGAAGCAGUAGAAGGUACAGAGGUUAACAACGGCAACGAUGACAGCAAUUCAGCUAAUCAGUCUGAGAAUAGGCUAGGGAACCUGCUAGCACCAGCCAGGCGGAAGAAAGUUGGCAGGCCAACAAGUAGGGAGAAGGCUCCGUAUGAAGGUUUAAGUAACAAGUAG